GCCGGAUUAGCUCAGCGGUAGAGCACCCGCCUUGUAAGCGGACGGUCAGGGGUUCGAUUCCCCUAUCCGGCUCCA
rnacentral:tRNA from 1 species